UACCAAGGAACCAAGGUCAAUGAUCCGACGCAAGCUUGCUUGCAGGAGGAUUUUUGACUUUGGUUCCCGCCAAAACAUGAGUAAGAAGCCAUUUUCUGAAAGAAAAUGAGCGGAUUACGAAUGUUUUUGAGGAUUGCGGAAGCGCGGAGCGCGGAGCAAUCCGGU
rnacentral:sRNA from 1 species